CGUGGCUUCCCCUUGGGUUUCGGCUGUACGCGACAGCCAGUCCGCAUUACCGUUGAUAACACCUGCCCGAUGCGUCACUUGAAAUUGGUAUGGCUGCAAGCUGAGGUACCACUGCAAAAUCCAGGGAUUCAUGUCCUUCAUAUUCUGCAUCCAUUGCAGGGGGGCAUGGUCCGUCACCACGAAUCCGGUUCAUGAGUCUCUGGAACGUGGCUGCAGCUCCGUGUAGACUGAACGGCAUAUUUCUAAAUUGAUACAGCCCAAAGGGGGUGGCAAAGGCUGUUUUUGCCUGUGCUUCCGCGGACAACGGGAUUUGCCAAUACCCCUUCGUAAGAUCCAGAGUCAACAGGAAGGAAGUUUUAAAAAGAGCUGCAUAUUCAUCAUGACAAAUGAAAAUUCCACUUUUUUUUGCUGGCAGUGGACACUAUAAUUAUAUGUUUGCAUUUCUAACUGAAACUUUGAUGAACUUGUCCGACUGUUGAAAAAACAAAAUAAUUGUUAGGUAGUGUCUGUGCAGUUCUGGGGAAGGGAAAAAAAUCCCCUGAAAACCAAAAAACACUGAAGAAGCUGCACGAAUACUUCUAAGGACCAGCCAAACAUCUUAUUGCCUAGUAUAAUUUACUAUCAUAAGUUACAUGAGGCAGCUUACACUGACCUAACCCUGUAAGCAUCUAUACUAAUGUAGCUCACAGCAGUGUGACUUGCCGAUUACACUGACUUAAUAACUGAACCUCCUUGAGAGGUGUAGUACUUAAGUAGAUAUAGUUAGGUGGAAGUAGUGUCAGAAUAGACACUGUGUGGCUUACAUUGACUGUUGCUGCUUUUCAGAAGCCAUCCCACCAUGCAUCACACUGGGAAUUUUCCAAAAUUGCCUAUUUAGUAGCUAAUGAACUAUAUUGUAUGUGAUGUAUGCACACACCCAGAAACACACUCAUCCAGAAUAUAGCUAGAUAUAGGACAUAUCUGAUAGAUUUGGAAUUGCUGAUUCCUGGUGAGGACGUGCACCACCAGUAAAAGGACUGGAGCAUGGAUGUGUAAAGAUGAUUCAAAUACUGCGGCAGCAGUGAAUUGACAUAACUUAGGUUCAAUUAAUUUUGUAGUGUAGACUUGCCCUCAGUUGUAGCACCUCACCCAUUGGGACUAUUUAAACACAACAAGCUUGUGCCUUCAGGUACAGCCCUGAGAAAGGUGCAAUGUAUAGGCACGCUUCCCCCAAAGAAAGUACAAGGAGACAUUGUGAUUGAGACAACCCUAUUCUUCUCAUGUAGAGUACAAUAAAAUGUUUUAGCUAAUACAAGGUUUCAGCUCAGCUGAGUCGUGUGGUGGCUCUCUUCAUCUAUUUCCCUCUGAAGGACACUUAUUCAUGGAUGGAACAUUUCUGGUACAGUUCCCACGCACUGCCCUCAGCAUUCUUAGCUAACAUAGCCACAAAAGAAUGUGGACCUUACUCCC